UUUUGUUCGUUUAUUUAAUAAUAUAGACAUUUCAAAAUUCAAAUGUUUCAAUUCAAUCAAAACACGAAACGCCUGCGAACAGGCUAUGAUGUUUACAAUAUCCAAUCAGAACACGUAGUCUAUCGAACCUAUAGUCAGCAACCAAUCAACUUCUAGGUUCCAAUUUUGAAAGUUAUUUGUGGAAUGUGACCCCAAAAACCCAGCCAAUUUCACCAGAGGGUUAUUCAAAACAGGCGAAAAUAAAUACCCUCUGGUUCCAGGGUAAUUGCACUCAAGCUGCCAAGAAAUAACAAUUAUUUUUGUUACCAAAGAAAAUGGUAUCAAAGCAUAUCCCUCAUUAUAUUAAAAUGAUACUGGAUAACUGAUCCCAUAACAGUAAUUAAAUAUUAUUGUAAUUAUUAAACAUUUUGUUUGUAUUUGUGAGUUAAUAGCUUGUUUGGACUAUUGCACAUGGUGAGUUAUUGCUUAUUUGGACUAUUGCACUCAGUAAAAUUAGCUUUGAAACAGCGCCUAAUACACUUGUCAUCGGAAACACGCACCCCUCCACCCCAGGGGAAACAUGGGCAUAAAUAGACUUUUUUAGAAACUAAUGAAAGAAAAAGCCCCACACAUAGGGGCAAGCAAAACAGGCCAAAGCCACUUCUAGAAUAACACAUUUAGUAAAAGUUUCAAACAUGGAAUAUUUAAAGUAGAAUGAUGAAUAACUUUAAACAUAGAACACUAACAUGGCUUCUUGUGCAAAAACAUCAGUCGUCCAUUCGACAAUAGGCUACCCAUAGGAUUAUGGGUAGCCCACAUGUAAUCAUGCCUAAUCUUGUCCUCAAACUACACCUCCCACCCACCCAUGUUUCCCCGGGGUGGGUGUGUGGGUGGUGGUGGUGGGGGUGGUCCGAUGACAAGUGCAUAAUACAUAUAGCAGAUUUAUGACAGACAAGGUGCUUGCUACAAAGACAAUUUCUUGAGUUUAAGAGUCCAAAUAAGUAAUAACACAACAUGCACAUUCAAAGUUGAAGGUUUUGAAAAGAAAUUAAAUUACUGGC